GGGUACGACCAUACUUGGCCGAACGCGCCAUGCCCCGUCCGAUUUGUGAAGUUAAGCGGCCACAGGUCUCGUUAGUACGGCGGUCAGUGUUGGGGCGCCGUGCCCU
rnacentral:rRNA from 1 species